AGAAGACUAGUUUAAAAAACAUGAAGUUUCGACCUUCAAAUUCUUAGUAUUUAAGCCUAAGGUCUUCAG
rnacentral:tRNA from 2 species